AAAAAAUCUUCUCAUGUUUUUAAUGAUAAAACAAAUAAAAAAUCUCCAUCUUGUUUCCUCUGCCUUCAAACUCGAUUCAAAUCUAGAUUUCACACUUUCUCUCAUUUUCUUUAUCUUCUUCUUCCUCCUCAUUCUUUGCUGAGUUAUCUAGGUUUUCUGUAUACUGUUGAUUUCUUUAUUGUUCAGACUUUCGAUUCGGACAUAAAUCAAAAGUUAGAGAAGAGAGACAAGUAAGAGAAGAGAGAAUGGAGAAGAGAUAGAGUUCGGGGCUGGCAAAGAAAGGAGAAGACGUGACGGCUGGAAUAAGCAGGGACGUCGCUCGGAGAUGGGAAGAGGAAGAAGAGGAGAUGACAGAAGAAGAAGCGGAGUGGUGUCGGAGAUGGCUGGUGAAGAAGACGCGACGGCAUGAAUAAGCGGAGGUGAUACCUGAAUCUCUUUCGUAUUUGUUUCUUUGUGGUGAUUCUUGUCUUUCUUUCUAUGGAUUAUGUAGUACGGGAAGCCAGAGUAUGAGAUUGGAUUUCCAGGAGUACUAGAGCUUGUUAAGGAGGUGAGGAACCAUCAAACUUGUAUGAAAAUUAUGAAAAGGAAACGCAAAACCAAAGAAACUCCUAAGAAGUAUCGAAAAGAUUGCUUUUCAAGAAGCCACAAGGUCUCUACAUCAGCUUGAAAGAGAAGAGUGUUUUAGUAUCUCUCUCUUACCAUCUCACUUUCUUUUUCUUUCUUUGGAAUACUAAGGUUGCUUCUCUUUCGGCUCUUCAACAACAGAUUCUUUCAAAGUUUCUUCGCCCUUGACAUCUGCAGUAGGAGUCGUCUUCUCUGUCGAAUCCAAAGAGGGAGGAGAGAUAUUUCUUCACUGGUAAACAAUGGUGAAAGCAGUAGUUGGAGAAGAGGCUAGGCUCACCUCUGCUGAAGAUCGUUUCUCUCACUCCGCUAUUCCUGCUGAGGUGGGUCUUGUGAUAGGGAAGCUUAGCUCUGUUUUAGAUUGUGGAUUUGUGUUUGAGAGAGCAUGCUCGGUUCUGGGGACCAGAGAUGAUAAAAGGAAGCCAUCCAAGUCAAAAUCUUAGUCAUCGGAGUCGUAUUCUCUGUCGAUUGAUCGUGAUUGUAAACAAUCGCUGUAGUGCAUUCCUGGUUUAGACUUUGGUUUAGUUUUGGAUAUUUUGUAAACAAUUUUUAUAUAUAAAAUUUUAAAAUAUUUUUUUUUA